rnacentral:rRNA from 1 species
AACGAACGCUGGCGGCAUGCCUAACACAUGCAAGUCGAACGAGACCUUCGGGUCUAGUGGCGCACGGGUGCGUAACGCGUGGGAACCUGCCUUUAGGUUCGGAAUAACUCAGAGAAAUUUGAGCUAAUACCGGAUAAUGUCUUCGGACCAAAGAUUUAUCGCCUUUAGAUGGGCCCGCGUUGGAUUAGCUAGUUGGUGGGGUAAAGGCCUACCAAGGUGACGAUCCAUAGCUGGUCUGAGAGGAUGAUCAGCCACACUGGGACUGAGACACGGCCCAGACUCCUACGGGAGGCAGCAGUGGGGAAUAUUGGACAAUGGGCGAAAGCCUGAUCCAGCAAUGCCGCGUGAGUGAUGAAGGCCUUAGGGUUGUAAAGCUCUUUUACCCGAGAUGAUAAUGACAGUAUCGGGAGAAUAAGCUCCGGCUAACUCCGUGCCAGCAGCCGCGGGUAAU